AAACUACAGCGUUAUUUUACAGAAGCUGACUGUUUUUUAAAUAAUACAGAAUAUUGCUGUAAAGUGCAAUGCAUUCUGGGGUCACGUGACGGAUUAACUCAAAUGUACAGAAUAUUGCUGUAAAUUUCAAAUCUACAAUGGCGGGAUGAUCUUCAACGGUCGAGAUUGGUGUAGUGCGCAAAAUGAGUGAUUCACACAUGUGACACACUUUGCCAUGCAGGCCACUGGAUACUGACUACUGAAGGUUAGGUUGUGUGUGACGGUGCUCAGCACAGCUUCAUGUCUGGCCUUCCCACUCUGUUCAUAGCAUGUUACAUAUUCAAUCUUGAGUACCAGGAUGGGGCAAGCGUGUAUCUUGGAGUCCAAUGAAAGAUAUUAAUCCAGAGAGUGGAACAAGAAGAAGCAUCAUCUAAAAUGCCAGGAAACAGAAGAAACAGGUUGCAGUGAACCCACAUGUUGCUGCUCUACACAAUAAUGAAUUUUCAAUGUAAUCGAUGAAAAUUCUAGCUACUUGUUGUGCUCUGAUGGAUCAAGAUGUGGACCGUUUUACAGACUCACUUGGGCCUUGUUUUGCAAUUUUGUUUCAUGAUGGUAAUGUUGGUUAACGCGUUGUUUAAACAUGAAUGUUUAAAGAGCCAUGUUGGAUACUAUGAAGUUGAAACUGAAUAAAAUUAUUUCAUGUACAACAACGUACA